rnacentral:rRNA from 1 species
AUUGAACGCUGGCGGCAGGCCUAACACAUGCAAGUCGAGCGGGGUUUUCGGACCUAGCGGCGGACGGGUGAGUAAUGCGUAGGAAGCUACCCGAUAGAGGGGGAUACCAGUUGGAAACGACUGUUAAUACCGCAUAAUGUCUACGGACCAAAGUGUGGGACCUUCGGGCCACAUGCUAUCGGAUGCGCCUACGUGGGAUUAGCUAGUUGGUGAGGUAAUGGCUCACCAAGGCGACGAUCCCUCGCUGGUUUGAGAGGAUGAUCAGCCACACUGGAACUGAGACACGGUCAAGAGUCCUACGGGAGGCAGCGGUUGGGAAUAUUGAACAAUGGGCGCAAGCCUGAUCCAGCCAUGCCGCGUGUGUGAAGAAGGCCUUCGGGUUGUAAAGCACUUUCAGUAGGGAGGAAGGGUUAAGUGUUAAUAGUACUUAACUUUGACGUUACCUACAGAAGAAGCACCGGCUAACUCUGUGCCAGCAGCCGCCGUAAGAC